rnacentral:rRNA from 1 species
UACACACCGCCCGUCACAUCACGAAAGUUGUCUGUACCGGAAGCCGGUGGGCUAACCCUUCGGGGAGGCAGCCGUCCAUGGUAUGGAGAGCGAUUGGGGUG